CUACUUAUUCGUAUUGUUAAGUGCAAUUAAAUAUUUGAUAUUGGCAACAUUGUUCGAACUCAAAAAUACUCUGUGGUGAGCCGCAAUGGUUGUUUUUAGUGGUCUUCUUGUUGUGUGUGCUGCGGUUAUAAAAAACAGAAUAAACGAGCAUAUUAAAGAAA